GCGGUCGCUCGUGGUCAGUACCGAGUUCAAUGUCAAUAUCAGAGGAACCGCAAUCGCCACUGCAAUAGUCAUAUUUCGCGAUCACAGUUCUUGGAUAUUUCGGCGACAGACAUCACAUAGACUUCCGUACGCAACGAUAAUAUUAUAUAGUUUUUGUUUUUUUUUCGCUCGUUUUCCGUCUCGACGUGUCAUCCGUUUCGCAUCCACUACGGUCGCAAUCGUUUCGCAGUCUAUAAUAUUAUAAUAUUCGCGAGUUUCGGCGUUUAUCGUAUUACAGUCGUUAUAAUAUCGUCGCAUACCACACGACACAAUAAUAUAAUAUACCGGCUGAUACCUAGGUAUUUAUACCACGCCUAUUCUCCGCGACACAAUGUACGUGAACCCGUGGAUCAGGAAACACUCGACCAUCAGACAGGUGAUCGACAAGUUGCUGUCGAUCAACACGAACAAGACGAAGAAGUUCGACGCGAUGCUGAACAAGAAAAAGCACACAGGAAGUAACAGGACGACGGCGGCGACGACGACGGCGACGGCGACGGACAAGCGACGCAAGUGUUAGCAUCGGCCGGAAGUGAGACGAAAGUCGUAAAGCGGUUUUAUUUUUUUCGUGACGAGAAGAAUAAUAAGUCCGUCCGAAAAUGUUCCUACCUAUGUAUAAUACUUUAUUAUUACACCAUCGUUCAUAGUACAAAAUAUGAUACGAUAUUUGUAUACCGUCGUUACCGUGGUUAUGCUAUUAUAUAUCUGUCUACGCCGCCGCCGAAGAGAGACGCUGCCGCCCGAAGAAUAUAAUAUAAUAUAAUAUAAUAUACCUAUGACACAUAAUAUAAUAUAAUAUACGUUUGCUAUACGUUUCGAACCCUCGUAUCGUAGUAUAACUAUAGUAUAGUAUUAUUAUCUAUUAUAGCUGUAUAAUAUAAUACAAUAUUAUGUUAUAAUUAUCAAGGCCACAAAUGAAGAUAUUAUGAUAAAUGAUAAUUAUUAUAUGUACGCCGAUUGUAAAUAUAUAUUUAUAUAUAAUAUGCCGCACAAGUACUACACUACGUCUCCACGCCGAGUUCUCGCGAGCUGUUUGUCGGGGUCGUCCGGAUAUAUUAUAAACAAUACAACGUCUGGAGACUGGAACAUAUUAUUAUAAUACGACCGCAUUGUUGUAUACAAUAUGUACUCACACGAUGUAUUCCGCUGCCAGUCCACAUUACCGUCAAUUUAGUCAAAACGGAUUUGGAUUGUAUGCAGAAUAUUAUCAUCACCAUAUUAUCAUCAUCAUCAUUAUAUUAUUUUUAUUAUUAUAAUACCGACUACCACGGAGGCGGAUUCGCGUUCUCGCGGGACGACGACAAGGACGACGCAUCGUCUGCAGCCAUAUCAGAUUUACGUAGAAAUAGAUUAAAAUUGUAUUUGGUUAUACAGUUGAGUCAGAAAACCCAUCGACAUUACGAAUAUUACUCGAAGAUGUACGAGACCACUUUUAUUUAACAUUUUCGACGUAUGUGCUUGUAAUAUUGUUUUUUUAUUUUUACGUGUAAUUUUUUUUUUUUCAUAUUAUUUAAUUAAUUUUAUUGUAUUUGUAUGAAUUUACCACUUUUGCUAUUUUUAUAUAAAAUAUAUUAUAUUUAUUUAAAAAAAUA